AACACGGAAGAAGAUGGAAACGAAGGGGUGAUGAAUGCAGAGCCAUGUGAAUUACAGUUUGCUCGACUACAUUUCAAACAAUUGUUAUACCAGUAGAAGACUAAUGCAGCGUUUUUUUUAAUUACAUGGUAGCAUCGUGAGUAUCUCCAGUGAUGCAAGUUUUUAUAUUUGAACUAAAGUUAAAUAUCUGGGUGUUAUUCUCUCCAAAAGAAAAAAAACUAACAAGAAAUGGCUUUCACAAACCUUUUCUCUCGUCUGUCUGCUGCUGAAGUAGACGUGAAGAGUCCUUUUCAACCAGACUUGUUGGCACACAGGAACGAGACUGGUAAUGGCAAAAGAGGCAAUGCAAGAAAGAGGAAACCUCAGGGUGAGCAGAUGGGCUGUUUGGAAAAGAGGCCAUGCAACCAGACCCAGAGCGCCAGAAGCUAUGAAGCCGCAUCCUUCAGAGAUGACGACCUUAAAGCCAAACACUACUAUAUGCAGAACAGUCAACAUACUAAUGCAGGCAAACGAGGAAGACACAACCACAGGGGUAAAGCUGGCCACCAUAACACGUCUCCCAAUGUUCACAAUAACAGAACCAACAAUAAUCAUAACUGGAACAUGCAACAUGAGCAAAAGGAGAGGACGGAGUGGCAGAACAAUCAACAUCGUCAGAGGGAUGGGUGGAGACCUGCGUACAGAGGGGGCAGACAUACUUCAAGAAAAGGUGGACGGGGCAAAGCGAAGGAAAAGCAGGACUCCGAGGUGAAACGCACAAGAUUCAUGUCAGAGGAGUUCAAGGAGCAGAAUGCGUUGUGUGUGGAUGGUCGCCUACUCUGUAAACAUUUCCUUUUGGGAAAGUGCAUUAAGGCAGGAUGGCGACUGCCAGCUGGAACAUAUUCAGGGUUACAACGAUCUCUUUAAGGAAGCGUGCAAGUUUUACACCAAGGAGCCUGCUUUAAAGGAGAGAGCUGCCCCUACAU